AUUGAACGCUGGCGGCAUGCCUUACACAUGCAAGUCGAACGGCAGCACGGGUGCUUGCACCUGGUGGCGAGUGGCGAACGGGUGAGUAAUACAUCGGAACGUACCUUAUCGUGGGGGAUAACGCAGCGAAAGCUGUGCUAAUACCGCAUACGCCCUGAGGGGGAAAGCGGGGGAUCGAAAGACCUCGCGCGAUUAGAGCGGCCGAUGCCUGAUUAGCUUGUUGGUGGGGUAAAAGCCCACCAAGGCGACGAUCAGUAGCUGGUCUGAGAGGACGCUCAGCCACACUGGGACGGAGACACGGCCCAGGCUCCUACGGGAGGCAGCAGUGGGGAAUUUUGGACAAUGGGGGCAACCCUGAUCCAGCAAUGCCGCGUGAGUGAAGAAGGCCUUCGGGUUGUAAAGCUCUUUUGUCAGGGAAGAAACACCGGCUCUAACACAGUCCGGGAAUGACGGUACCUGAAGAAUAAGCACCGGCUAACUACGUGCCAGCCGCCGCCGUAA
rnacentral:rRNA from 1 species